UCUCCGUAGGUGAACCUGCGGAGGGAUCAUUACAGAGUUCAUGCCCUACCGGGUAGAUCUCCCACCCUAUGUUAUUAUUACUUUGUUGCUUUGGCGGGCCGUUAGGCUCCGGCCCGACUACCGGCCCCGGCUGGUAAGCGCCCGCCAGAGGACCCAAAACCCUGAAUAUUAGUGUCGUCUGAGUACUAUAUAAUAGUUAAAACUUUUAACAACGGAUCUCUUGGUUCUGGCGUCGAUGAAGAACGCAGC
rnacentral:misc_RNA from 1 species